GGGGAAUCCGAAAGAAGAUUUGCUGGCUUGGACACACGGGAGAAGCAGAUGUUGACAUGUAUCGCGGGAGAUAAUCAGGAGGUGAGGCGCAACUGAAGGAUGGUUGCUUGAUUUGAUCCUCACGGCCAGUUUGGAAUCCAUUGAUGCUCGAGAUGAAGCUCCUGUUCUGUUUCCGUGAAGUCUGGGAAGUGAUUAACUCGAAAGAUGAGCUGCUGCCAUUUCACAGAAGAAGAUCUUGGAUGCGGGAGAUCACUUGCAGUUGGCUGGGAUCAAACAUGGACGUGGAGGGAACUUGGACGCGGCUGAAUGCUGGGAUUUAGCUG
rnacentral:lncRNA from 1 species